CUCAACCCCCUUCAGGCCUCCUUUGGUUUGGAAUUUUUUUUGUAGGAAUUUUACAGGAAAGGAUUUUCAAAAGGAAAAAAAAUCUUUUAUAGUCCUUUGGUUUGUAAGAAUAGAAUCAUAUUUCUACGGAGGAAUUGUUACCAUCCUGCACAUCUCAGGAAAAUAAACAUUACCCUAGACUCAAUGAAAACAAAUCCUAUGAUGUGAACUAACAGACAUCUAUCUUCCUAUUCCUAUUCAUAUAGGAUUUAAAAUACACGACAUCUCAAUUUCUACAAGUUUCACAUUCCUAUUAUAUUCCAACCCUAUGAACCAAAGAAGGCCCGGAUCCUCUUCAAGCCCUUCUAAACCGAACAGGGAGAACUGGUUUCUAUCUGCUUCUCCAUGAAAUAUUUCCAACAAUCAAGUCUUGCUGAACUGACAGCACGGUGUAUUCAGGUGGAAUAGCUGGAACCACUUCGGCUGCAAGAUAGACGAGGUGAUAAUCCGAAAAAUAGGUAAGGAUGGUGCUCCCUUGCUCUCUUAGCCAGGAAAAUCAAACCUUGCAUUGCUGCAAAAAAUAAAUAAAUCACCUUGUGUUUGUGCAGCUGAUGCCAUGGUGGAUACUGGUCUUGCGAAACUGGGGUAUGAGUAUGUCAACUUAGGUAAUCGCUUCGCGUUUCUCGCUCUCUUUGGUUUUCGCCCUUUUCAACUCUUCAUGUUUGGAAAUGAGGACCGCAAUAUUCACAGUGGAUAUGUUUGUUUUGAAACUGCAGACGACUGUUGGGCAUCUCAUGACAGAGACUCCCAGGUGACUAGUAGUACAUGUUAAUAGAAGAGAUGAUAUGUGUGUAGAUAGAAAGAACAAAACAAAUUUUAAAAUCCAUUAUUGAUCCUCAAUCAUGUGAAACCAGCAUAAGCUUUUCAGCUGCAAUGUUAGAACGACGUAUUUUCAUAGGUUUCGUUCAGUCGUUAAAAAGAACGACUGUUAUUUUACAGGGC
rnacentral:lncRNA from 1 species